CCGGUACUAGCUUCCGUCCGAAGUUACUUCUCGGAAAAAUGGAUGUGUCUAGACAUAUUUUAGUUCUAGACACAUCCAUUUUAUACAUUUCUGCGAUAAGUAAUUUCAGAUGGAGGGAGUAUUUU
rfam:Triticum aestivum genome assembly, contig: Triticum_aestivum_CS42_TGACv1_scaffold_571028_7AS